AUUGAACGCUGGCGGCAGGCCUAACACAUGCAAGUCGAGCGGAUGAAGGGAGCUUGCUCCUGGAUUCAGCGGCGGACGGGUGAGUAAUGCCUAGGAAUCUGCCUGGUAGUGGGGGAUAACGUCCGGAAACGGGCGCUAAUACCGCAUACGUCCUGAGGGAGAAAGUGGGGGAUCUUCGGACCUCACGCGAUCAGAUGAGCCUAGGUCGGAUUAGCUAGUUGGUGGGGUAAAGGCCUACCAAGGCGACGAUCCGUAACUGGUCUGAGAGGAUGAUCAGUCACACUGGAACUGAGACACGGUCCAGACUCCUACGGGAGGCAGCAGUGGGGAAUAUUGGACAAUGGGCGAAAGCCUGAUCCAGCCAUGCCGCGUGUGUGAAGAAGGACUUCGGAUUGUAAAGCACUUUAAGUUGGGAGGAAGGGCAGUAAGUUAAUACCUUGCUGUUUUGACGUUACCAACAGAAUAAGCACCGGCUAACUUCGUG
rnacentral:rRNA from 1 species